GAUAGCUUGCUAUCAAUGCUGACGAGCGGCGGACGGGUGAGUAAUGCCUGGGAAUAUGCCCUGAUGUGGGGGAUAACUAUUGGAAACGAUAGCUAAUACCGCAUAAUCUCUUCGGAGCAAAGAGGGGGACCUUCGGGCCUCUCGCGUCAGGAUUAGCCCAGGUGGGAUUAGCUUGUUGGUGGGGUAAUGGCUCACCAAGGCAACGAUCCCUAGCUGGUCUGAGAGGAUGAUCAGCCACACUGGAACUGAGACACGGUCCAGACUCCUACGGGAGGCAGCAGUGGGGAAUAUUGCACAAUGGGGGAAACCCUGAUGCAGCCAUGCCGCGUGUAUGAAGAAGGCCUUCGGGUUGUAAAGUACUUUCAGUUGUGAGGAAGGCGUUGAUGUUAAUAGCUUCAGCGUUUGACGUUAGCAACAGAAGAAGCACCGGCUAACUCCGUGCCAGCAGCCGCGGUAAUACGGAGGGUGCGAGCGUUAAUCGGAAUUACUGGGCGUAAAGCGCAUGCAGGUGGUCUGUUAAGCAAGAUGUGAAAGCCCGGGGCUCAACCUCGGAACAGCAUUUUGAACUGGCAGACUAGAGUACUGUAGAGGGGGGUAGAAUUUCA
rnacentral:rRNA from 1 species